UUGUCAUUCUUUUUCACUUUCUAAAUUUUUAUUCAAUUUUUGUAUUUUUGAUUAAUUAUUUUUUAUUUUCUUACUUUUUAUAUUUUUAUUGUAUUUUUGUUUAUUUUUUAUUUUUUUAUUUUUUUGUUUUACUUUAAUAUUCUUUUCUUAUUUUAUUUUUAUUUCUUUCUUUAUUUAAAUUUUCAUAAAUCUUUUGUCUUUUCAUUUUUAUUAUUUUCUUAAUUUUUUCACAAAUUUCUUUUUAUUUCUUAUUUUCAUUUUCAAAUUCUUAUAGUUUUUUUGUUGCAUUUUCUUCUUUGGUUUUCAUUUUUAUUUUGCAUUAACUUUUCUCUUUUUUAAUCUUUUGUCUUUGAUUUUUUAUAUUGUUUUCUUAAUAUUUCUUAUAUGUUUUUCGAUUUUUUGUAUUUUUUAAAAUAUUUUUUUUCUAUUUUGUCAUUUCCUUUCAUUUUUGAAAUUUUUAUUCAAAUUUUGUCUUUUUUUAUUUUUGUUUUUGAUUCUUAUUUUUAUUUUCUUACUUUUAUAUUUUUUUCUUAUUUUUUAAUUUUUAUUUUCUUCUUUAUUUAUAUUUUCAUAAAUUUUUAUAAUGUUUUUUGAUUUUUUAUCUUUUAUCUUUUCUUUUUUUAUUUAUCGUUGUUGGUUAUUUCUAUUGUAUUUUUAAUUUUCCAUUAACUCCUUUUCCUUUUAAAUUUUUCCCUUUUUUUACUUGUUUUUUCAUGUGCUUUCAUAUUUUUUUUUUGUUUUCACUUUUUUCUUUGUUUUAAAAUUUUCUAUAAAACUUUUUUUCUUUUGUUUUAUUUCAUAUUUUUGCCUCUUCAUUUUUUAUUUUUUCUUGUUUUUCGAAUUUUUUUCACAAAAUUCUUUUAUUUCUUGUUUCCAUUUUUUUUUUUUUGCACUUCCUUGUUUUGUUUUUAUUUUUAUUUUGUUUUAACUUUUCCCUCUGUUAAUUUUUGUAUCUUUGAUUUUUUUUAUUUUUUUCUUAUUACAUUAUUUUUGCUUGUAUUUUCUAAAUUAAAUUUUUU
rnacentral:lncRNA from 1 species